AGUGAACGCUGGCGGCAGGCCUAAUACAUGCAAGUCGAACGGCAGCACAGUGGAGCUUGCUCCAUGGGUGGCGAGUGGCGGGACGGGUGAGGAAUACAUGGGAAAUCUGCCCAGUCGUGGGGAUAACGUAUGGAAACGUACGCUAAUACCGCAUGCGCCCUUCGGGGGGAAAGUCGGGGGACCGCAAGGCCUGACGCGAUUGGAUGAGCCCAUGUUCGAUUAGCUAGUUGGCGGGUAACGGCCCACCAAGGCGACGAUCGAUAGCUGGUCUGAGAGGAUGAUCAGCCACACUGGAACUGAGACACGGUCCAGACUCCUACGGGAGGCAGCAGUAGGGAAUAUUGGACAAUGGGCGCAAGCCUGAUCCAGCCAUGCCGCGUGAGUGAAGAAGGCCCUCGGGU
rnacentral:rRNA from 1 species